CACGUAGGGCGCAAGCGUUGUCCGGAAUUAUUGGGCGUAAAGAGCUCGUAGGCGGUCUGUUGCGUCCGCUGUGAAAACUCGGGGCUUAACCCCGAGCCUGCAGUGGAUACGGGCAGACUAGAGGUAGGUAGGGGAGAAUGGAAUUCCCGGUGUAGCGGUGAAAUGCGCAGAUAUCGGGAGGAACACCGGUGGCGAAGGCAGGUCUCUGGGCCAUAACUGACGCUGAGAAGCGAAAGCAUGGGGAGCGAACAGG
rnacentral:rRNA from 1 species